CUCUCACUGAAAAUGUCCAUAUAGAGAGGCCAUCUUGAUAAGGACAUUGUCGUUCUGAUUUUUUUACAGUGAAAUGUUUAUUAAAAAGCCACAUAUGCCGAUGAAUUACACGUAUAAGUGCUGAGUUUAAUCAGUUGCAGCAACAGGAAGGAGAAACUGGGCUCGAAGACGCCGGUUAAUUUCACAACCUCUUCUGUGUUUAGCUCAGAGGAGGAAGAGCUAUCUGAACCCUCAUGGAGUUCUUCAGCUCCUGCUCGGCCACGCACACACUCCUGCGCACUGGAGGAAGAAAAAGCUAUACUUCACACACAACUCUCAAGUUAUCCAUCAAAAGACUUUUUAUUCGUUUGUCAUUUAAAUCUAACAGCGAACCAAGAAGCACUCACCUCCUUCUUUCUCUGCCUGCAUUGCUGCGGCCUGGUUCAUGUAGAAGACACCCAUCUCGUUCCGGAUGUUACCGAGCCGUUUGAGAACCUGAGCCAGCUGCUCCUGUCCCAGGUCCUUCAGAACUCCUGAGGUCAAAAGGUCAUGGGCGGCCUCGUAACACUUGCUGCUGACGAUCAGCUGGUACUCUGGGUCUGUGGCCAGAUCAGUGGCCAUGCUAAAGGCUGAGAGAGGAAAGAGAAAUGACCGAGAGUGUGAUCUAGCAUUCAGACCUUGGCAGGAGCUCUCGCGGUGCAGGCAGUGAAGGAUCUCCUGGUCUUCUUUAGUCUGGUAGCUGUACUCCUCCAGAUAUGCAGCUCUGUUUGAGGCAUUCUGUGCCAACAUGAGCUGAACAUCUCCACAUAGAGACAGACACUGACAGUGGAACAGAAGCACCUGGGGGUGGAGACCACCACUGAUGGAGCAGUACGCAUCUACACAGUGAGAGAAAGCGUAUAAUGAUCAGGUUUGAACAGGACCCCAAACUUUUCAAUGAUAGUGUGUCCUGAAGUUUUCUGAAAAUAAUGAAAGCUGCAUGUUCUUACCGUGGCACUGCAGAGCCAGUUUGAUGUAGCGCAGUGCCCGGCCAUACUUCAUCAAGUUGGUUGCAGCAUCUGACAGGACGUAGUAUGCUUUAGACGCUUUCAGGAACAGCUGCAGUUUCAUACGAUGCUGCCAUGUGCCCGGUAACAUUCCGGAGCGCGUCGGCAUCUUCAGUUCCUUGCUACACGGACCAACUGUGCAACCAAGAUGACGAGUAAUUCACUCCCCGACAGACUUGAUGACGGCCACAGCUUUAGAGUCGUCCUGUGGCUCAGAGGAGGUGCUGUAGGAGCAGCUCUCGUCUUCAUCUUCCUCCUCCUCCUCUUCAUCACUGUAGCUGUCUUCAGAUCCCCCGCCC